CGGAACACGUACAGAACCUUCCUUUAAGCGGGGAUAGCCCAUAGAAAUGUGGAUUAAUACCCCAUAGUAAUAUUGACUGGCAUCAGUUGGUAUUUAAAGAUUUAUCACUUAAAGAUGGCUGUGCGGCUGAUUAGGUAGUUGGUGUGGGUAACGGCCCACCAAGCCAUCGAUCAGUAACUGGUGUGAGAGCACGACCAGUCACACGGGCACUGAGACACGGGCCCG
rnacentral:rRNA from 1 species